rnacentral:rRNA from 1 species
AUUGAACGCUGGCGGCAUGCCUUACACAUGCAAGUCGAACGGCAGCAUGGAGAGCUUGCUCUCUGAUGGCGAGUGGCGAACGGGUGAGUAAUGCAUCGGAACGUACCGUGUAAUGGGGGAUAACGUAGCGAAAGUUACGCUAAUACCGCAUACGACCUGAGGGUGAAAGCAGGGGAUCGCAAGACCUUGCGUUAUACGAGCGGCCGAUGUCAGAUUAGCUAGUUGGUGAGGUAAAGGCUCACCAAGGCGACGAGCUGUAGCGGGUCUGAGAGGAUGAUCCGCCACACGGGGACUGAGACACGGCCCAGACUCGUACGGGAGGCAGCAGUGGGGAAUUUUGGACAAUGGGGGCAACCCUGAUCCAGCCAUGCCGCGUGAGUGAAGAAGGCCUUCGGGUUGUAAAGCUCUUUCGGCCGGGAAGAAAUCGCACAGGCUAAUACUCUGUGUGGAUGACGGUACCGGCAUAAGAAGCACCGGCUAACUACGUGCCAGCCGCCGCAGUAAAAC